UCCACACAGCAGGCUGAGCAAGAAGUAUGUGAAACAGGAAGUCAAAGAGGCUCUGGCACAUCACUUCGGGCAAGGGGGUCUCCACCUUGCACUCCUGGUUCAGAGAGCAGAUGUGCCUUUCUGUGGGCAGGAAGUAACUGACCCAGUCCAGAUGAUCCAGGAACUUCUUGGACAUGCUUGGAUGAAUUACACAGCCAUUCUUUUUA
rnacentral:lncRNA from 1 species